rnacentral:misc_RNA from 1 species
GUUUUUAAGAUUUUUUUAUAAUUUUAUUUGAUAAUACGUUCAUCUUUUGUAUGCUUUUGGUUAGUGAUGGCAGGCUAAUUAAAAAGACCCUAGCCAGGAAAAAGGUUCCUUAGACUGGCGAUGAGGAAUCUUAGCAUGGACUUCAGAUUUUUUUUUCCUUCUUCUUUAUUUGCAUGUAUCUGUAAGAACAAGUCCUUCACCUGCAGCAU